rnacentral:tRNA from 1 species
GCCUGGGUGGCUCAGUCGGUUGAGCGUCCGACUUCGGCUCAGGUCAUGAUCUCGCGGUCUGUGGGUUCGAGCCCCGCGUCAGGCU